GACGAACGCUGGCGGCGUGCCUAACACAUGCAAGUCGAGCGGUAAGGCCCUUUCGGGGGGUACACGAGCGGCGAACGGGUGAGUAACACGUGGGUGACCUGCCCUCAGCUCUGGGAUAAGCCCGGGAAACUGGGUCUAAUACUGGAUAUGACUCCAUGACGCAUGUUGUGGGGUGGAAAGCCUUGUGCGGCUGAGGAUGGGCCCGCGGCCUAUCAGCUUGUUGGUGGGGGAUGGCCUACCAAGGCGACGACGGGGUAGCCGGCCCUGANAGGGCGACCGGCCACACCUGGGACUCGAGACACGGCCCAGACUCCUACGGGAGGCAGCAGUGGGGAAUCUUGCGCAAUGGGCGAAAGCCUGACGCAGCGACGCCGCGUGAGGAUG
rnacentral:rRNA from 1 species